AAGGGUAGAUCUCAGUGAUAGAGGGUGUGCUUAGCAUGCAUGAGGUCCUGGGUUCAAUCCCUAGUACCUCCA
rnacentral:tRNA from 1 species